rnacentral:lncRNA from 1 species
CUUUAUUACUACAGUAUAUACUUUAUUACUACAGUAUAUACUUUAUUACUACAGUAUAUACUUUAUUACUACAGUAUAUACUUUAUUACUACAGUAUAUACAUUAUUCCAGGCCAAUUCUAAAGUUUUACAGAAAGGGAUACAUAUGGAAGAUAAUUUGUUUCUACAAUACAUGUACAUAUUAUCUCUGAAAAGAUUUAGAGAUCAUCGUUACUGAACAUAUAAAUUCAUUUUUUGACGUGUGCAUUUAGACAAUACCUAAAUACCAAUCCUUUAAAACGUGAGUGAUUAGUACUACACAAACAGUCAACAGUUAACUAAUAGUCUAACAAAACUAGCUAAGCAUUAAAAAAAAAAAAUCACACUUAUGUGACAAAUACAUCAUUUAUUCAACCACCAAACUUUAACAAGAUAAGUCACUGUAGUGGAUCACCAACGUUGUUGUUGUGUUGUCAGAAUGUCAAACACGUGACAGAAAUCAUUCCGGAAGAAUCACGUACUUGUCUGUUCUAUUCUAGAACUUCUAGAAUCCUUUAGAAUCCUCAGUUUUGUUCAUCACAAUGACCGUCUAGACACCUCGGUUACCUUGAAACCCUAACCUAAUUGACAUAUUCUCAUUAGCUUAUACAUACGUACAUGUGUAUAUAUAGGUAGACAGAUGGACAGAGAUUGAUAAUAACAAAUCAUUUAGGGUUUUUUUUCCGCUCGUGAAAUUAGAUUCAGUAUCAGUUGAAAGAAGAAACACUAGAAAAAAAAUAAAAAAAAUAACUCUUUGGAAUCUGUCACAUCACAACAAUUCCUGACUAUAAAACCAUAGCUGGUUGUUUUUUCAUAAGGAGAAAUUCUACCUGUACACCAACUAAAGCCAACAUACUGUAACUCACAUUUACCAUUGAUUCAAAUCAAACCCCGGCUGUGACCUCUAACCUUUACCUCUCUAACCGUCAUGACAUGCUCUUCUCACCAGAUAAAACAGGUCCUAACCACCAUCUUGUUUCAGCAGCACAGCAGGUCUACAACAGGGCAGUAAAGGAUAUCUGUAGACUGCCUUUCAGACAGGGAGACAAUGGCUGGCUCCUAAAAUGCAGGUAUAUCAAACAAGCCCUUAUUGAUCCAAAGUGCCUUUUGUUCUUCUUUCAAGUUAGAAUUUAUUUGUUGGGGGGGGGGGGGGGGGGGGGGGGGGUAUUGAUUAGGAAUAUCUUAACGUAAUAGUGAAAGAAUGAAAGCAGAGCGUGUGAUGGAAAAGGUUACAACUACAUUAAAUCAUUACCAAACUUGUCCAGUUAAAAACCCUAACUGGUGAGAGACAACUCGUAAUGGAAUCGGUCUGUUUCUCUGUAAAAGAUGUCCACGUCAUUUAGUGAUUUAAAAAACAAACAUAUCAAUCCAACAACAACAAAAAACCUAAAGUAAAAAAAAACAAGAAUCUGUUUGAUCUAUUAUCCAUCCUGUAAUAACCUAAGAAA